GCAGCAUCAUCAGCUGACUGAACUCCUGCUUGGGGACCCAGAGGCGUGGCAGGUGAGUGGAGUGGGCAGACUGUCCAGAGAUGGGAAGACUUGAGGUGGAGACCUGGAUGGGAAGAAUAAAUUUCCUGUGGACACAAACCCAGCUUUCUCGAGCUGUCUACCUGAAGCAGGCAUUGAUACAGUCCCUGAUGACAGCUUGUAGGGAACCUGGUUUGCCUUGAGGAAGCAGCUACUCCAGAGUGCAGCUGACAGUGGCAGCAGGCACAUGAUGGGUUCAUUGAAGAAAUUUUCUCAAGAGUAAACUUACUUCUGACUUUCUGAGAAGGAAUUUUGCACCAGAGAACAGCACUUUCCCUGAUGUAAAUGCUGUUUAUUGUAUUUUUCCUUUACUUUCCCCUCCAGAAUAUAUUGUGGGCUGGGACAGAGCUGCAGG